rnacentral:lncRNA from 1 species
UGAAAGUCUUUUUCGGUAAUAUUACUCUCUCCAUUCUAUAAUAUAAAUGCGUUUUUACACUAUAACAAUAUAUUUUUAUAUAGCUGAAAGAAAGAGAACCGGAGAGAAGAGAAAUGGGCUACUAGUCAACAUUCGGUUGCAGCCUCUCCCAUAACCCCUCUCCCUCACAUCUGUCUCUCCCACGUCCGAUGGAUGGGCAGCAGUGACUAGGCCAACUAAUCCUCAACAGGAUGGCGGCGACCUGGUCUACGGGAUGGACGGUGGCGGCCCGAUCUGUCGAGGAAGGAGGCGACCCGAUCUGCUAGGAGAUGGCAUCGACCUGAUCUGCUAGGAGACGGCAGUGACCUUAUCUGCCAUGGUCGUAGGCGACUCGAUCUGCUAGGCGACGGUGAUGAGUUGAGGUGCCAGGACGGCGAGGACCUGAUCUGACGGGAACGACGGCAACCGGGCCUGCUUUUGAGGCGGUGGUCAUUCCCUUGCGGGCGACGGCCACCUCGCGCACGCGACCACUUCCUCGCCGCCGGCUACAAGCCUACAACAACGAUGAGCGGGGAGCUGAUCUAUGGGAUUGUUUGCCCGUUGAUGAUUUCCUUGAUUCUUUGCAUGUUGAUGAUUUUUACCCGUCUUUGUCCUCUCAAUAGGAAAGAAUUCAUUGCAAACAUUCAUUUGAAAGUACAAUUCGAUCCAAACACUUCUGACAAUUCCAAUAAUAUAUUUCUAGAAAUAUAUAUAUGUAUUUAAGAGGCAGCCUCAUCAAUUUUAUAAAGAUGAGUUGAACUGAAUUCAUUUCAUUCUAUCCCUCAAACCAAACAUUAAAACAUAAACAUUCCGUUCCAGCAAAUACCCCCAAUCAUACAAGGGAACGGAACCAACCCAUUCAUGGAACAGAACCAUGACAUUUCAUUGUUCUUCAUUCUUGAACCAAACACACCAUUAGUGUAUAAAGAAUAUAUCAUUGUGGCAAAGCAGAAAAAUCGCUAUCUUUUUGGACUCUUUUUGAAAUAGCUUACUACAUAUGACAUGUAAUGC